AACUUCCCUGCUGCGCAUCGUAUGGUAUGCGCUUCACGUGUAAGGUGUUCACCUGUCACUUAAGUACGUUAUUCCGGGAGCACACAGCUUUAAUUACGCAUGUGGAUGGAGAAUGUGCUCGGCCUUUAUACAUGAACCGGCCAGGUAUACUCACAGCUGCAAAAGAAGAGCUAAAGCGGCGGAUAGAGUAAAGAAUUCCGCUUGGACGAUUACCCAAAAUCGGCCGGCUCCGGAUUCCGAGGGCAGAACAACACAACGAUA